rnacentral:lncRNA from 1 species
AGGAAAGAGCUUUUCAAAUUUCUAAUCCAAAUAGGAACAUAAGUGAGGGUAUAACUUAAUCUCAGCCUUCCAUUCCAAUCAUCUCUCUAAAUUUCCUUGUCCAGUUGAAGGUCACAGACGCUUGACGUUUGGAAGACCAUAUUCUUCUCACUAGAAUCUGAAAGGGACUGUGAAGGGGUUCGCUUGGCUUCUUUUUUUAUAAUUUCUGAUUCUGUGUUGUUCCAAGUUAGUGCCAUGGUAUGUUGUUUGAUUUUUCUGGAAUUGAUUU